GGCCGCCUGGCGAAAUGGCAUCGCGUCUGACUACGAGUGUUGAACGUAAACCUCGGGCAUCAGGAGAUUGCAGGUUCGACCCCUGCGGUGGUCA